UAUUUAUUGAGUUAUUAUAUUAUAUAUAUAUUGGUUUAAUGAAAUAAAGAAAGAAAAGAAUAGAAAUAAAAACAGAAUAGGCAAAACGAAAAGCAGGGAAAGAAAGAAAGAAAGGAAGAAAGGAGAAAAGAAAGAAGAAAGGGAAAAUUGAAGGUUUGAAGCUUGAAGUUUAAACAGCUAGUGUUAUGCCAGAAAAUCUCGGCUAGGCCAGGAAAAGACAAAGUCGACGAGGGAUAGCUCGGAAAUUACUGUUAGGUUAAAGACAGAUCGUCGAAUCAACAUUAUAAGUCGAUCCCGAACUCAAAGAUUGGGCCGGGCUCAGGCCUAAUAAACGGGCAUAAGAUUUUGGUUGGGCUUGACCCAUGAACACCUCUAGAUGACACCAACUCUAAUGGCUUUACUCUUUGCUACAAAGAUGGUACCAGUUUCAAGCUCUGGUGUCCUCGUGUUUUUAUCAUUUCUAGCUCAAGCAUUGGAGAAGGAUUGCAAAUUAAGGUCGUGGUAAUUGACAUUUCCAACUUGGUUAAUUGAAUGAAAGAACAAAAUGGAAGAUAUUGUUAUUUUGAAUAAAAAAUCUAAAAAGAAAAUCAUAUUUACAUUUUA